rnacentral:rRNA from 1 species
CCUACGGGUGGCAGCAGUGAGGAAUAUUGGUCAAUGGGCGGGAGCCUGAACCAGCCAAGCCGCGUGAGGGAAGAAGGUACAGCGUAUCGUAAACCUCUUUUGUCAGGGAACAAAGGCGGGGACUAGUCCCCGGAUGAGGGUACCUGAAGAAAAAGCAUCGGCUAACUCCGUGCCAGCAGCCGCGGUAAUACGGGGGAUGCGAGCGUUAUCCGGAUUUAUUGGGUUUAAAGGGUGCGCAGGCGGCCUGUUAAGUCAGCGGGAAAAGCCCGGGGCUCAACCCCGGCGAGCCGUGGAAACUGGCGGGCUGGAGUUGGAGAGAGGUACGCGGAAUGCGCGGUGUAGCGGUGAAAUGCUUAGAUAUCGCGCAGAACCCCGAUUGCGAAGGCAGCGUACCGGCUCCACACUGACGCUGAGGCACGAAAGCGUGGGUAUCGAACAGGAUUAGAUACCCUAGUAGUC